rnacentral:rRNA from 1 species
GAUGAACGCUGGCGGCGUGCCUAAUACAUGCAAGUCGAGCGAACGGACGAGAAGCUUGCUUCUCUGAUGUUAGCGGCGGACGGGUGAGUAACACGUGGAUAACCUACCUAUAAGACUGGGAUAACUUAGGGAAACCGGAGCUAAUACCGGAUAAUAUUUUGAACCGCAUGGUUCAAAAGUGAAAGACGGUCUUGCUGUCACUUAUAGAUGGAUCCGCGCUGCAUUAGCUAGUUGGUAAGGUAACGGCUUACCAAGGCAACGAUGCAUAGCCGACCUGAGAGGGUGAUCGGCCACACUGGAACUGAGACACGGUCCAGACUCCUACGGGAGGCAGCAGUAGGGAAUCUUCCGCAAUGGGCGAAAGCCUGACGGAGCAACGCCGCGUGAGUGAUGAAGGUCUUCGGAUCGUAAAACUCUGUUAUUAGGGAAGAACAUAUGUGUAAGUAACUGUGCACAUCUUGACGGUACCUAAUCAGAAAGCCACGGCUAACUACGUGCCAGCAGCCGCGGUAAUACGUAGGUGGCAAGCGUUAUCCGGAAUUAUUGGGCGUAAAGCGCGCGUAGGCGGUUUUUUAAGUCUGAUGUGAAAGCCCACGGCUCAACCGUGGAGGGUCAUUGGAAACUGGAAAACUUGAGUGCAGAAGAGGAAAGUGGAAUUCCAUGUGUAGCGGUGAAAUGCGCAGAGAUAUGGAGGAACACCAGUGGCGAAGGCGACUUUCUGGUCUGUAACUGACGCUGAUGUGCGAAAGCGUGGGGAUCAAACAGGAUUAGAUACCCUGGUAGUCCACGCCGUAAACGAUGAGUGCUAAGUGUUAGGGGGUUUCCGCCCCUUAGUGCUGCAGCUAACGCAUUAAGCACUCCGCCUGGGGAGUACGACCGCAAGGUUGAAACUCAAAGGAAUUGACGGGGACCCGCACAAGCGGUGGAGCAUGUGGUUUAAUUCGAAGCAACGCGAAGAACCUUACCAAAUCUUGACAUCCUUUGACAACUCUAGAGAUAGAGCCUUCCCCUUCGGGGGACAAAGUGACAGGUGGUGCAUGGUUGUCGUCAGCUCGUGUCGUGAGAUGUUGGGUUAAGUCCCGCAACGAGCGCAACCCUUAAGCUUAGUUGCCAUCAUUAAGUUGGGCACUCUAAGUUGACUGCCGGUGACAAACCGGAGGAAGGUGGGGAUGACGUCAAAUCAUCAUGCCCCUUAUGAUUUGGGCUACACACGUGCUACAAUGGACAAUACAAAGGGCAGCGAAACCGCGAGGUCAAGCAAAUCCCAUAAAGUUGUUCUCAGUUCGGAUUGUAGUCUGCAACUCGACUACAUGAAGCUGGAAUCGCUAGUAAUCGUAGAUCAGCAUGCUACGGUGAAUACGUUCCCGGGUCU